UUAUCCGGAUUUACUGGGUGUAAAGGGCGCGUAGGCGGGGAUGCAAGUCAGAUGUGAAAUCUAUGGGCUUAACCCAUAAACUGCAUCUGAAACUGUAUCUCUUGAGUGCUGGAGAGGUAGACGGAAUUCCUUGUGUAGCGGUGAAAUGCGUAGAUAUAAGGAAGAACACCAGUGGCGAAGGCGGUCUACUGGACAGUAACUGACGCUGAGGCGCGAAAGCGUGGGGAGCAAUCAGGAUUAGAUACCCUGGUAGUCCACGCUGUAAACGAUGAAUACUAGGUGUGGGGGGACUGACCCCCUCCGUGCCGCAGUUAACACAAUAAGUAUUCCACCUGGGGAGUACGGCCGCAAGGUUGAAACUCAAAGGAAUUGACGGGGGCCCGCACAAGCAGUGGAUUAUGUGGUUUAA
rnacentral:rRNA from 1 species